CCUAGGUCUGUUUGGAGAGGUGAACUACGGCAGAAACUGGACAAUGUUCCCAGGAGAGCAGAAAAAAUAGAAAGUUUCUUACAGGCAAAGCCACUUUUCUUUAUGGAUCUAUCAGUAGUUGGCUUCAAGUGGGAAAUGCAUGUUCAAAGCUGAUGGGAGGAAGAAUGAAGUGGCAUCUUCAAACAUGCACUGGAAGUCAGCACUAAGAUCUCCCUGGAACUGUCUUUUCUCCAGCUAGGACAAGCCCAACUCUCUCAGCCUGUUUUAACAGGAGAGCUGUUCCAGCCCUCUGAUUACCAUGAUACUGCACCCCUCAUCAUUCUGGUCACUGGAAGGAUUUGCUGAUCUGGUACUUCAGGAUUCCUCUGGCACUCAGAAAUCCCUCAGAAAUAUGCAGAAAGGUACGUCAUUUUAAUUUUGUAUUUUACCAAAAGUCAUUUAUUUUCAUCAAGUUUGAGUCUGAGAGGUAUAUUAUGGAGUAAAGGUAAAUUCCUUCUGGCCCCCAGACACCCAAACUAGAUGCCUUUUUAAGAAGGUCUCCAUGGUCUUCCAGAGAAAUGUUGAUUUCCCCAGCAUCCUUUAUCUAAAUUGUUAAUUCUUGCUGGUGAAAGGAUACAGUAAAUUAAUGUAUUUGUAAACCUGAAGCUACCCAUUUCUCAAAUGAGUUGAUCUAGAUUUAGGCUGAGUAGGUUAUUUAUUCAUCAGCAUGACAUUUUGUUCCACUUAAAGAAGGUCAUUGUAAAUUAAUAAAAACAAUCUCGGUAAUUCAGGUCAGUCUAGGAUUGUUUUGUUGAAAAAUUUUCAGAACUAGUGCAAAAGCACUUUGCCUUUUGGUUUUCAUAUUAAUUAAACUCUUUCUGACAGCAAUAUCUUUAUCAGCCCAGGAAUCUGCUUUUUGCCCAUUUCAAAGGUGCAUAGGUGAACAGGAAGCUUUAGGACUAUUUCAAUAGUAAAAUAUGUAAAUCACUAAAUUAGAAAAACACAUUAUUGAAAAUUAGUACAAAUUAUCUAUGAGGACUAGAAAAUUUGCACACCAUUAAUAUGCAAGUAAUCCACCCAUUAAUGUGCAGUACCUUAUUAUUUUGACAACUUUUACAAAAGAAUGGCCUCUGAUUGCUGUCUAUGCAGCUAUUAUUGGCUCAUAGACAAUGAUGAGCAAUACAGCCAGCUAUUCUCUGAAAAAUGUUUCUGGAUGCAAAAAAAAAAAAAAAAAAAAAGAAUUCAUUAAUUAAAAGUAUUAUUAUGCCAUGUAAUUACAGAAAAGUUUAAAAAGAGAGACUCUUUGAAGAGCUCUUUGUUUCUCAACAGAACAGUUAAGAUUGGAAGGGGGUCUCUGCAGAUUGUCUAGUUUUGCCUCCUGUUCCUCAGGCUUCCCAGAUCUGUGCUGAGCAGGAUUUGGAGUCCUCUGAGGACAGAGACUUCAAAACCUCUCUAAGCAACCUGUCCCACCACCCCCACAACUUUUUCUGUCUGAUAGAACAAUUGUUGCUUAAGCCACAGUCAUCUGUUCUUACUUUCAUGCUAAAGAUUAAAAGAUAAUGCUUUGGUAUUAUAUUAUAUAUAUUUUAUAUAUUAUAUAAAAGGUAUUAUAUUUAAUACUUUGAGCUGCCUGGAGUAGACUAGUAUACUGUGGACACCUGGAGGAAAUGUGGGAAGGAAAGCCCCAACCCAACACUAAAGAUCUCUGCAGGGCUGUGCAGGGGUAGCCAGCAAGUGGUGAAAUGAGUGCCAUGCACUGACAGGAGCUCAGCCAGGGGCUCACUGCAUGUCUUCCAAGGCCUGGUCUGCUGCAGGGGGCCCCAUUCACAGCACACUGUGCUCCUCCCCUGCCCCCAGCAGGACCCACAGAGCUGCAUUGGCCUCUCCUGGCCAACUCUUCCCAGUUCAUAUACUGGGCAUGACACCCUGUGGCAUGGAAUGGCCCUUUGGCCAGUUUGGAUCAGCCCUCCUGGCCCUGCUCCCUCCCAGUCUUUGUGCACCCGCUCACCAACCCAACAUGGAAAUGGAAAAGCCCUUGACUUAGGGCAAGCAGUGCUUAGCAACAUCUAAAACUUCACUUUGUUAGUAAGGUUAGUCUCACACUGAAUCCAAAACACAGCUCUGCACCAGCUACUUGGAAGAAAAUUAAGUUUAUCCCAGCUGAAACCAAGACAACACUGCAGGUCUCAUAAAGGUUGAUAGUCUGUAAAAAUGUGCAGGAGUAGCCCUUUCUUAACUAGUGCAAGCACUUCAGGGACAAGAGAUACUAUUGUUAUAAAGGAUACAUGUCCAGCAAACUAAAUUAACCACCAGAGAACGUCAUAGAGAGAUAAUGCUCUCCAGCUUGUCCUAGAAAUAACUUUGCUUACCUUUAAAACUUAUAAGUGCUUUUAAUUUUAUUUUAUUAUCUUAGUCUAUACCUAUUUUACAAAAUACCCACUCUUUUCCCUAUAAAACAGUAUAUUGUAUCAUCAAAGAAGUCGUCAGUAUGAGUAGCUGCACAUAACUUGGUGGUCCUAAAUGCCCCAUAAUACUCUUAUAUCUCUCCCAGAACUCUGUCUCCCUUUGAAACCUUGCUCCUGAAUAAAACAGAGCAUCAAACAUGUCUCAAAUUUUACAUCUGCUGUGUGAGAAUAACUAUUUUGGCAUGGACAAAGAAUGCUGGCAGCAUCUGAAAGGGGUUCAAUUCCUAGCCCUACAAUUUGCAUCCCCUGCCCAUCUCAGACAUAAGAGAUAAUAUGUGACUAUUCAAUUAUGUUUCAGUCUGUUUAACUAUGUACAAGAUCUGUUCAGAAGAACAGAAGUGUGUUCUUCGUUUGUUCUCAACACCCUCUGACAAUCACAAGCUUUCAGACACACAAAAAUGACUAAGAAUGAAAAACAUAUUGUAAACAUACUUGGUGGAGAUUAUAUUGACUGAAAAGGGUGAGUAUAUUUACUAAUAUCAGGACUUUUCCUACUCUUACAAAAGACAAAGACAACAUCUGACUUCAGAGGGACUGUUAAGAGUAACAGCAAUUAAUGACUGCCAGCACUCAUCAGCUGAAGACACUGGAUAAAAGCAGUGCAAUUAUUCAACUGACACCAAAGUUUUACAAAUAACAACUUUUAUGAUUUUUGACCUUUCUGGAAUUGGUUGUGAAUUAAUUCCUAUUUUAUCAAAGAAAUUAUGAUUCACAGCAGUUGCCAAAUAAUUUAGGUGAGCUAUGCAUGGUCAUGAGUGACUCACUUUACAAGCGGUUCAUAGAAUAAUGUUGGACAUCUCCAGGCCCAAAGGAUUCCUGCAGAGCUAGAUCAGCUACAGCAAGGAUAAAGGAUGCCAUACUUCCCUGGGACUGCUCCUUCAGGCAGCAUGCUCGAGGCCAUUUCCAUUUCUGCCUGGUCCCCCCACACAGAAUUUAAGUGGAGAGGACUUGACAAGCAGGAAAGCCAUGCUGGAAUAACCAUGCAGGUGUCAUGGUGCCUCAGCUGCAGGUUAUUGUUUAAGGAGGAUUCAUACUGGCUCUCUGCAUCUCCCUGGCACAUACCUCCUCACUUAACACUGUGAUGUUCUUCACCUCUCUGCUCCCUGCCCUAUGGAGGAAGGGAAGCCCUUACAGGUGAGGCAAGCGUCAGCAGAAGCUGGAAAGGAUUCUGCUUUAAUUCCUAGCCAGAGCAGAGCUGCCCCCUCACAGGAGGAGAGCUGGAAGCAAAGGGAUCCCGCAUCCCACUCCCACUACUCGAGCAAGGCAAACAGAACGUAGAGACAAAUUCAAGAAAGAUUCAGCUAAUAAAAGUACCACAGCAAGGUGGAAAUCAACUCUCAGAUCAGAUUUAUGAUCAGGUCCCACAACCACCAGGCAAGCCCACCCUGACAGGUGAGAGCCAAGGCCAAGGCAGAGAGUCAGCCCAGGGUGGGACACUCCCCUACAUGGCUGUCACUUGGCUGGAGACCAUCACCCCUUCAGGCUCAGCACAAGGGAACAGGCCCUGUGGGCUAAACUUAAACAGCUGCUGCUCCAUGGAUGAGGAGAGAGACCCCAACUGAGGCUGGUCAGGACCAUGAACAUUUCUAACAUUUAUCAAUGCCCUCAGAGCCCUCACACUGCUUUCCUAUCUGCACUUACCCUGUCCCUUGCUGUCUGUAGGUGCAUUAUUCAUGUAAACCCAAUCAAAUCUGGAGACUGCAUGCUUAGAAACCAUAAUUAUGUUAUAGAAGUGAAACAGGUUCUAUCCAGGUGUAAUCUGGACAUAUCCUAAAAUGUCGCAGCUCUCUGAGGAACAUUCUCACUGUCUUCUGAAGAAAGGAUAGCAAUGAGCUCUGUGGAACAGGAUUUUGGCUAAAUUUUGUCCAUAGGGGAAAGAAACUGUGAUAUAUUUGAAACCUUGCACUAUCUCCCUAUGCAGUGCAUCAUAUGAUGCAAAGCAUCAUAAUGUUUCAGGGGUGUUUUAUUUUGUUUACCAGCUAAAAGCUCCUAGGGAGCACACAUAAAUGCAUCUCUGUUAGCUCUGGCUUAAGAAAGUCCUUGUAUCUUUGUGUUGAUAGUGGUAAAAAGCAGUUUAUUCACUUUUGCUUUUUAACACUUUUAUAAUUCAAGAUGCAAACAUGGCAGAGAGAAAGGCUUUUUAAGCAAUGUAAAUGGAGAUAAGAACAAACAACUCAUUGAGUUAAUUUAAAUGUCAUGAAGAGAAUUUAAAAGGCCUUUAAGCUCUGCCUACCACUUUUCAAAAACAUUUCUCUUGUAAUUCAGUUUCUCUUUGAAAGCACAUUCAAGAAUAAAUAAACCUAAUUCAAGUGUUCCAUUAAAA